rnacentral:rRNA from 1 species
UACGUAGGGGGCAAGCGUUGUCCGGAUUUAUUGGGCGUAAAGAGCGUGUAGGCGGCCAGACAGGUCCGUUGUGAAAACUCGAGGCUCAACCUCGAGACGCCGAUGGAAACCAUCUGGCUAGAGUCCGGAAGAGGAGAGUGGAAUUCCUGGUGUAGCGGUGAAAUGCGCAGAUAUCAGGAAGAACACCCGUGGCUAAGGCGGCUCUCUAGUAGCGGUACUGACGCUGAGACGCGAAAGCGUGGGGAGCGAACAGG